GCUUAGCAACCUGCUCGGGACCCCUCUCUGUGACUGUGAGCUGUUCUGUUCUUUUGCCUAUUAAACUCCUGCUCCAAACUCACUCGAUGUGUGUGUGCAUGUCCUUGACCUCAAUAUCUGGUCGUGUGACCAAGAACCUCAGUAUUCACCCCAGACAACAAGGCUGCUUCAUUUUGAGGGCUCGUCUGGGAUUUGAAGGUGACUUCAUCAGAAUGCUUUGCUGCUAAAGGGAUCUGCAGUCCAGCUGAAAACCUGCCCUUGCCUGAGCCCAGCCACUUUCUCCCAGAGAAAACUGGAGAACCUAAACAUGAUUGUGAACAGAAUGGCUUCCGGUGGCCUGGGACUCCUUGGGGAAACAGAAAAUGCACCACAAAUCCCAUUUUAGGAAAAAUCUGUUUUCCUCGGAGCCCCUGGAAUUAAAGAAACCAUCAAGCUUCAGAUGGUGCUGAAAAUGGAGCCGAAAAUGAAACUGCCCUCCUACGAGGGACCCUUAAAUCAACCCCAGGAGGAGCCCUAGCUGCUGUUCCCCACACAACGCCACUCUCCAGCAGGAAGUAGCCAGAAGAAAUCGUCACCCAGUUUCCCCUAGCAGCAGCGCAGUAAGAUUGAGGAGCUAAAAACAGACUUGGGUGGAUGUCUGCAGCUGCAAGAAGAUGUGUGGGAACAGACACAGAAACUCUCCCUCCCAGAUAAGCAAGACAAAGAAACACAGAAUAAGAGUCCAUCUAUGUGGUCAGAGAAUGGGAUAAGAGCUGAUUUAAAAAAACUCUGCUCUAUAUAGAAGGCACACCUGGUCCCAACCAAACCACUGGACCCUAGGAGGAUAAGACCUCCUCUGCUCAUGAGCCCCCUCCUCAGUAGCCCAUUUAUAAAAACCCUGACAAUUUUACUACCACUUGGCAACCCGCUCGGGACCCCUCUCUGUGAUGGAGAGCUGUUCUUUUCUUUUGCCUAUUAAACUCCUGCUCCAAACUCA
rnacentral:lncRNA from 1 species